AAACACCUCCCCCCCCCCCCCCCCCCCCCCCGGCGCUGAGAGCCUGAGAGCCGCUCCCAUUUCCGAGUUUCCGCCGGUUUCCCUGUAGCCGCCGCCUCCUCUCGGUGCCGUCGCCUCUUCAACGACCGACCGGCGGCUCUUCGCGUCCAUCUCCACCGGACGGCAAACCUCCGCGGCUCCGGUCACCGACUCACAGUCACCGGCCAGCAGCUGUGGCCCUGAUGGUUAUCCCUCCGCCUGUUAGGCCACCCAGAAUCAUCAAUUACCUGAAACCUUACGUGCUGAAAAUGCACUUCACAAAUAAAUUCGUGAAUGCCCAAGUGGUCCACAGCCCGACAGCCACAGUAGCUUGCUCUGCAAGCUCACAAGAGAAGUUGCUGAGGCCGAGCAUGGAGUCCACACGAGAUGUUGCAGCAGCUGCUAAGAUCGGAAAGAUUCUGGGUGAGCGACUCCUGCUCAAGGGGAUUCCUGCUGUCUCUGUGUUCUUAAAGAGGGAGCAGAAGUACCAUGGAAAAGUGAAGGCUGUAAUAGAUUCCAUGAGAGAUGCUGGCGUGAAGCUGCUGUGAGUUCAGUUCUAGGUUUAGUCCUUGAUCUUGUUAAAAGAGAGGGAGUUGUUGCUGCAGCAAAGCUAGCGUCUUUUUUGAGGCAAUAACUAUCCAAACGCUUUGCUGUCAGUUCACACUUAAUCACCGGACAUUUGAUCAAUGAAGAUGGAAAAGAUGGAACUUAGCCUGAUCAGGGUGCAUGUUCGCAUGUUUUGUUAUGUCGAAGUGUCACCCUGAAGUGAUGUGAUUCAUAGCUGAAUGCUUGGGUCUUGUUUUACAUGAACAGAAUUAUCCUGUUACAUGGAUGAUAUUGAUCGCUAGCUUAUUGCUGGACUGGUUGAUUGUAUGGCAUCUUGUAUCGGUCUGAACUAUCAGGUCCAUAUGUGGCUAUUAUUCCAUCAUUCUACUUAAAUUCCACUAAUAAUUUGCAUGUUA